rnacentral:rRNA from 1 species
UACAGAGGUCUCGAGCGUUGUUCGGAUUCAUUGGGCGUAAAGGGUGCGUAGGUGGCGCUGUAAGUCGGGUGUGAAAUCCUGAGGCUUAACCUCGGAACUGCAUUCGAUACUGCGGCGCUUGAGGACUGGAGAGGAGACUGGAAUUCAUGGUGUAGCAGUGAAAUGCGUAGAGAUCAUGAGGAAGACCAGUGGCGAAGGCGGGUCUCUGGACAACUCCUGACACUGAGGCACGAAAGCUAGGGGAGCAAACAGG